rnacentral:rRNA from 1 species
UACGUAGGUGACAAGCGUUGUCCGGAUUGACUGGGCGUAAAGGGCGUGUAGGCGGUCGGUCAAGUCUGGUGUGAAAGCCCCGGGGCUCAGCUCCGGAAGUGCAUCGGAAACUAGCUGGCUGGAGCGCGAUAGAGGAGGGCGGAAUUCCUGGUGUAGCGGUGAAAUGCGUAGAUAAUCAGGAGGAACACCCGGCGGCGAAGGCGGCCCUCUGGAUCGUUGCUGACGCUGAGACGCGAAAGCGUGGGGAGCAAACAGG